UCGGUAAUUCCAGCUCCAAUAGCAUAUAUUAAAGUUGUUGCAGUUAAAACGCUCGUAGUCGAGUACGGCUCUGUCGGUUGAUCGUGCAGCUUGCUGUUAUUGAUGCUGACUGAGCUUUGCGUCGCACCAGCGUCUUUUGAUGUUGGUGCAAUGCCACUUUGAAUAUAUCAAAGUGUUCAAGGCAAUUUGUUUGAUUGCUCAAGCAUGGAAUACAGAAUUGGCGUUUGCUGGUUCUAUGGUUCUACAAGCAUGUGCAAUGAUUGAGAUGAACGGUUGGGGGGAUACGCAUUUGGCUGUUAGAGGUGAAAUUCUUGGAUCAGUCAAAGGCGAACUGAUGCGAAAGCGUUUCUCAAGAACGUUUUUAUUGAUCAAGAACGAAGGUUAAGGGAUCGAAGACGAUCAGAUACCGUCGUAGUCUUAACGGUAAACUAUGCCGUCCAAAGACCGGGUCUUCGCGUAGAGAUUACUCGGGAUUUCGAGAGAAAUCAGAGAUUUUGGGUUCUGGGGGAAGUAUGUGCGCAAGCCGGAAACUUAAAGGAAUUGACGGAAGGGCACCACAAGGAGUGGAACAUGCGGCUUAAUUUGACUCAACACGGGGAACCUUACCAGGGCAAGACAUAGGAAGGAUUGACAGGAUGAUAGUUCUUUCUUGAUUCUAUGGGUGGUGGUGCAUGGCCGAUUCUAGUUGGUGGAGUGAUUUGUCUGGUUGAUUCCGUUAACGAACGAGACCUUUUCUCCCAAAUUGCUAUGGCCUAUGUUCAUAGGUCUUAGUAACUUGGAGUACAACAUGCAGAAAGCAUGGGGAAGAUGACGGCGAAAUCAGGUCUGUGAUGCCCCUAGAUGUUCUGGGCCGCACGCGUGUUACAAUGGCGUUCUCAGAUAGCAUUACACUCCUCUUAGAAAGGGAAAGGUAUCUUUCAAUGGAAACGCCAAACUUGGGAUUGGCUAUUGGAAAUUGUUGGGCCGUGAACGAGGAAUUCCUUGUGAUUGCAGAUCAAUCAGUCUGCGAAUGAAUACGUCCUUGCCCCUUUUGUACACCACCCGG
rnacentral:rRNA from 1 species